ACCAAAAAACGAAACAUGUUAUGGCUGAGAUAAAUAAUUGCAACAUAGCACAUGAAAAAAGAAAAGAAUAAAAAGAAUAAUAGACUCUCACUUGAUAUGCAGCUAAGUUUUCACUUCAUUUGCCAAUGUUUCCCCAACAUUUACAAAGAGCCCAUGUUCAUAAAAAGUAACAUCCAUACACUAUAAUCAACAACCCAUAUCAUCAUUCUUCAAGAUUUUAGUUACGAAACUAGGACAAACAUUCAUAUUUUGACAUAAUAAAUCAGAUUUCAAGGCGG
rnacentral:misc_RNA from 1 species